GGACUACAGGGGUUUCUAAUCCUGUUUGCUCCCCACGCUUUCGUGCAUGAGCGUCAGUGUCGACCCAGGGGGCUGCCUUCGCCAUCGGUGUUCCUCCACAUCUCUACGCAUUUCACUGCUACACGUGGAAUUCCACCCCCCUCUGCCGCACUCAAGCCCGCUAGUUUCAAGCGCAAUUCCCAGGUUAAGCCCGGGGAUUUCACACCUGACUUGGCGAACCGCCUGCGCACGCUUUACGCCCAGUAAUUCCGAUUAACGCUCGCACCCUACGUAUUACCGCGGCUGCUGGCAC
rnacentral:rRNA from 2 species